rnacentral:rRNA from 1 species
GGCUACACACGUGCUACAAUGGGUAGUACAGAGAGUCGCAAAGCCGCGAGGUGGAGCUAAUCUCAGAAAACUAUUCUUAGUUCGGAUUGUACUCUGCAACUCGAGUACAUGAAGUUGGAAUCGCUAGUAAUCGCAAAUCAGCAAUGUUGCGGUGAAUACGUUCUCGGGUCUUGUACACACCGCCCGUCACACCACGAGAGUUGGUUGCACCUGAAGUAGCAGGCCUAACCGUAAGGAGGGAUGCUCCGAGGGUGUGAUUAGCGAUUGGGGUGAAGUCGUAACAAGGUAUCCGUACGGGAACGU